AUUGAACGCUGGCGGCAGGCCUAACACAUGCGAGUCGAGCGGAUGAAGGGAGCUUGCUCCUGGAUUCAGCGGCGGACGGGUGAGUAAUGCCUAGGAAUCUGCCUGGUAGUGGGGGAUAACGUCCGGAAACGGGCGCUAAUACCGCAUACGUCCUGAGGGAGAAAGUGGGGGAUCUUCGGACCUCACGCUAUCAGAUGAGCCUAGGUCGGAUUAGCUAGUUGGUGGGGUAAAGGCCUACCAAGGCGACGAUCCGUAACUGGUCUGAGAGGAUGAUCAGUCACACUGGAACUGAGACACGGUCCAGACUCCUACGGGAGGCAGCAGUGGGGAAUAUUGGACAAUGGGCGAAAGCCUGAUCCAGCCAUGCCGCGUGUGUGAAGAAGGUCUUCGGAUUGUAAAGCACUUUUAGUUGGGAGGAAGGGCAGUAAGUUAAUACCUUGCUGUUUUGACGGUACCAACAGAAUAAGCACCGGCUAACUUCGUG
rnacentral:rRNA from 1 species